CGCGUAGGUGGUAGUGUAAGUCUGAGGUGGAAUCCCAGGGCUUAACCCUGGAACUGCCUUGGAAACUGCAUUACUUGAGUCAGUGAGGGGAGGGUAGAAUUCCUGGUGUAGCGGUGAAAUGCGUAGAUAUCAGGAGGAAGGCCUGUGGCGAAGGCGGCCCUCUGGUGCUGGACUGACACUGAGGCGCGAAAGCGUGGGGAGCAAACAGGAUUAGAUACCCUGGUAGUCCACGCCCUAAACGGUGGGCACUAGGUGUAGGGCUCGUAAGGGUUCUGUGCCGAAGGGAAACUAUUAAGUGCCCCGCCUGGGGAGUACGGCCGCAAGGUUGAA
rnacentral:rRNA from 1 species